UACGUAGGGGGCGAGCGUUGUCCGGAAUCAUUGGGCGUAAAGCGCGUGUAGGCGGCCCGGUAAGUCCGCUGUGAAAGCCCAGGGCUCAACCCUGGGAUGCCGGUGGAUACUGUCGGGCUCGAGUCCGGAAGAGGCGAGUGGAAUUCCUGGUGUAGCGGUGAAAUACGCAGAUAUCAGGAGGAACACCAAUGGCGAAGGCAGCUCGCUGGGACGUGACUGACGCUGAGACGCGAAAGCGUGGGGAGCAAACAGG
rnacentral:rRNA from 1 species